UNUGCCUCGUAUCCUCAUCCCAGGGCUGU
rnacentral:piRNA from 1 species